GCUCAGAUUGAGCGCUGGCGGCAGGCCUAACACAUGCAAGUCGAGCGGAAACGAUGGAAGCUUGCUUCCAGGCGUCGAGCGGCGGACGGGUGAGAAAUGCGCAGGAAUUUGCCCAGCAGAGGGGGGUAGCCCGGAGAAAUUCGGAUUAAUACCGCAUAUACCCUACGGGGGAAAGGGCCUCUCCUUGGAAUCUCUUGCUGUUGGAUGAGCCUGCGCCGGAUUAGCUAGUUGGUAGGGUAAAGGCCUACCAAGGCGACGAUCCGUAGCUGGUCUGAGAGGAUGAUCAGCCACACUGGAACUGAGACACGGUCCAGACUCCUACGGGAGGCAGCAGUGGGGAAUAUUGGACAAUGGGCGCAAGCCUGAUCCAGCCAUGCCGCGUGUGUGAAGAAGGCUCUAGGGUUGUAAAGCACUUUAAGUUGGGAGGAAAAGUGUACAGUUAAUACCUGUAUGCCGUGACGUUACCUACAGAAGAAGGACCGGCUAACUCCGUGCCAGCAGCCGCGGUAAUACGGAGGGUCCGAGCGUUAAUCGGAAUUACUGGGCGUAAAGAGCGUGUAGGCGGUUUUAUAAGUUGGAUGUGAAAUCCCUAGGCUUAACCUGGGAACUGCAUUCAAAACUGCAUGACUAGAGUACGGUAGAGGGGGGUAGAAUUUCAGGUGUAGCGGUGAAAUGCGUAGAUAUCUGAAGGAAUACCAGUGGCGAAGGCGGCCCCCUGGAUCGAUACUGACGCUGAGACGCGAAAGCGUGGGGAGCAAACAGGAUUAGAUACCCUGGUAGUCCACGCCGUAAACGAUGAGAACUAGCCGUUGGGAGCCUUGAGCUCUUUGUGGCGCAGCUAACGCACUAAGUUCUCCGCCUGGGGAGUACGGUCGCAAGUUUAAAACUCAAAUGAAUUGACGGGGGCCCGCACAAGCGGUGGAGCAUGUGGUUUAAUUCGAUGCAACGCGAAGAACCUUACCAAUCCUUGACAUCCAGAGAAGAUUGCAGAGAUGCGAUUGUGCCUUCGGGAACUCUGUGACAGGUGCUGCAUGGCUGUCGUCAGCUCGUGUUGUGAAAUGUUGGGUUAAGUCCCGUAACGAGCGCAACCCCUAUCCUUAGUUACCAGCGGUUCGGCCGGGAACUCUAGGGAGACUGCCGGUGACAAACCGGAGGAAGGUGGGGACGACGUCAAGUCAUCAUGGCCCUUACGGAUUGGGCUACACACGUGCUACAAUGGGGUAUACAGAGGGCUGCAAUCCCGCGAGGGGGAGCGAAUCCCAAAAAACUUUUCGUAGUCCGGAUAGGAGUCUGCAACUCGACUCCUUGAAGUCGGAAUCGCUAGUAAUCGCGGAUCAGAAUGCCGCGGUGAAUACGUUCCCGGGCCUUGUCCACACCGCCCGUCACACCAUGGGAGUGGGUUGCACCAGAAGUAGCUCCCUUUAUUGGGAGGAGGACGGUUACCACGGUGUGAUUCAUGACUGGGACGAAGUCGUAACAAGGUAGCCGUAGGGGAACCUGCGGCUGGAUCACCUCCUUU
rnacentral:rRNA from 1 species